GUGAGGCAGCUUCGUGAUCUGUGAAGUCUUCUACGUGACAUUCAAGACUUUUGUUGCUAUGGGGAUUGGGGUUUUCUUUUGUUUUUCAAUAGCUUCUUGUUAGAUCUCAAAAAACAUUCAUCCUUUCACAUUUAGAGAGAGAAUUAGAGGGGAAGUGAAGGGGAAGUGGAACUUGAGUUUGGGGGAAAUGUUGCUGUUGUUCUUCUUCUUCAGGAAUUUUGGCUGCUUCGCUUUCUGUGGAGCACUGCAGUACUGUUUCUACUUGGCAACUAAUCACAAGGAUACUUGAGCUCGUCGAAAUAUAAACGAUCUAUAUCAAAUGGACAAAAGAUUGUGACCAAAAUGGAUCCUCAGGCAUUUAUUAGGUUGUCAAUUGGAUCGCUGGGAUUGAGAAUCCCAGGGGCUGCUCUAAACUCUACAAAACCUGGAGUCAAUGCUUUCUCUUCUCCAUGUUCAUGUGAAAUUCGUCUUCGGGGUUUCCCUGUG
rnacentral:misc_RNA from 1 species